AGAGCGAACGCUGGCGGCAGGCCUAAUACAUGCAAGUCGAGCGCACCUUCGGGUGAGCGGCGGACGGGUGAGUAACGCGUGGGAAUAUGCCCUUUGGUACGGAACAACCCAGGGAAACUUGGGCUAAUACCGUAUGUGCCCUUCGGGGGAAAGAUUUAUCGCCAUUGGAGUAGCCCGCGUUGGAUUAGCUAGUUGGUAGGGUAAAGGCCUACCAAGGCUACGAUCCAUAGCUGGUCUGAGAGGAUGAUCAGCCACACUGGGACUGAGACACGGCCCAGACUCCUACGGGAGGCAGCAGUAGGGAAUCUUGCGCAAUGGGCGAAAGCCUGACGCAGCCAUGCCGCGUGAAUGAUGAAGGUCUUAGGAUUGUAAAAUUCUUUCACCGGGGAAGAUAAUGACGGUACCCGGAGAAGAAGCCCGGCUAACUUCGCGCCAGCAGCCGC
rnacentral:rRNA from 1 species